rnacentral:rRNA from 1 species
AACGAACGCUGGCGGCGUGCCUAACACACGCAAGUCGUGCGAGAAAGUUCCUUCGGGAGCGAGUAAAGCGGCGCACGGGUGAGUAACACGUAGGUAACCUGCCCCCCAGUCUGGAACAACUAGAGGAAACUCUAGCUAAUGCCGGAUGAGACCACGAUCCCUUCGGGGGUUGCGGCCAAAGAUGGCCUCUACUUGUAAGCUAUCGCUGAGGGAUGGGCCUGCGGGCCAUUAGCUUGUUGGUGAGGUAACGGCUCACCAAGGCUGUGAUGGCUAGCUGGUCUGAGAGGAUGACCAGCCACACUGGGACUGAGACACGGCCCAGACUCCUACGGGAGCAGCAGUGGGAAUAUUGCGCAAUGGGCGAAGCCUGACGCAGCGACGCCGCGU